rnacentral:rRNA from 1 species
CGUGUACACACCGCCCGUCACACCAUGGGAGCGGGUUCUGCCAGAAGUAGUUAGCCUAACCGCAAGGAGGGCGAUUACCACGGCAGGGUUCGUGACUGGGGUG